CAAUUUAGUCUCUGUGUUUCUUCCCUUCUGUGUCAGAUUAUUGUAUGUUAGUUGUUGUUUAGUCUACGUCAGUGUUUCUCAGGAUUUUUCAGUUUGGACAUUUGGAUACAGUCUUUUCCUGAUAGCUGGCUUGUUCCUGAGCACCUCGGCUCAGUCAGUUGAAGAAUGCAGACCUCUGGUAACACCUCUUCCAACUUUUGAACUGAUGGCGAUAGAUUUGAUCUCUGUCAGAAGGUGAGCGAUCAGGAGGCUGGCGGUGCAAAGAGGAGCAGCUGUGUCAUCCACAGAGGAUGAACCUUCAUAAGCAUACACACACGCACAGAUAGUGACAUUUACACCCCUACUUCUAUAACUCUAUAGAGCUACAGACAAUUAGUCCUAACUUAAGUAACUGCUGUCCAUCUCCUUUUGAAAACAGGCAGUGUCAGUUGUAGUCGGAACAUCAUUUAUUCCAAUGUGUACACGUGUUUGAUUUUUUGUAACCAUUUGGUCAAGGGAUGGGGGGUAGGCUUCAUCAAGUUAAUAGUAAUAUGUUUUUUUUCAAUCAUCAACAAGACAGGCAGUAUAUAAUGUUUGUCCGUAGUGAACAAGGGAUCAGGAGAUACUUCCAAUAGGAACAAUAGCGGGUACAGCGGAAUGUAAGAUUUUCUCCAUCUCCUCUUUGACGCAUCUCCAGAAGGUUUUUAUAUUCGGACAGUACCAAAAUAUAUGGAUAUGGUCACCCACCAUAUCACAGUUUCUCCAGCAUUUAUUAGAAGAGUUACUUUUAAAAACACAGGCUGUUAGUGGGACCCUUCUUUCCAUAUCUGCCUUCCAAUCCCCCUUUGACUUCUACAACAUAUGUUUUCCCAAGUGUCCACUAUUUUAUGGAGCUCCAGUUUCCACUGUCUUUUGAUUUGACAAGUGUUAUAUGACAUUUCUGAGCUUCCUAUACACAAGAUAUUUAUUUCUCUUCAUUACUGCACACAAUGUUCAGACAAAUGUAUAAAGUAGGAUUUUGUACUGUCUGGUUCUGUUCAAAACAUGCUAUACCACACAUCCAUCCCCAAGUGGUUCAUCUUUCUUAACUCGGUGAGCCGGGGUGUUUUUCAUGUGUACUGUAAACUUUAGACAGAGAAAACUCCCACAUGACUUGUUUGUGAAAGGUCUAAAUUUGAAUUGAUUAAAAUCACAUUGUAUCUCA